CCUCCUUCCCCUCAGGGACCCCCCAAAACUGACCCCACCCCCCAGGACACUCUCUGUUGGAAUGCCCCUGGGAUAUUUCCCCUUACCUUCAGGCCCCCACCACCCCCGGUGGAUAUCCCCGUUCCCUGCAGGGAUCCCCCCCGGAAAAAAUCCCAACCCCUGGGAUAUUUUCCCUUUUCUUAUAGAUCCCCCCACAGGAACAGACCUCCCCAGGAUACCCCAUCUUUCCCUGUACCUCAUGAGACAUCCGUCCGUUGAUGACGGGCUUCCCCCCAUUGUUGGGUGCCAUCUCUGAGGUACCGAAAAAGGGUCAUGCGAGAUGAUGCUGAGCCCAUAAAAUUGGCCUCUGGGAGUGUGUAGUGAGCGUCCUGACAGAUUUCCCAGGACAGUGACUUCAAAAAAGGGAUGAUCCUGGGCCAACCUGGAUAGAUAGCAACCCUACGCUCCGCACUCCCACAAUCCGGCACUCUUCUACCCUCCCUCAGCCCCCAGGGAAUGCGCUUGCCUCCCACCCAAGUGGAGCCUGCCUGGGGUUGCAUCCCCCCCCACCUCAGAGGUGUGCUUCUAGCCUUCCCCUGCUUCCUGCAACAUGACAGGAACAUGGAGGCGGACUCAUCCAUCCUGAUUAAAAAACAGCUUCAUCCCUUAAAUACUGCGGAUUCUCCAUCUCAUAAGAGCUUGGUGGGACAUGUGCAGCGCCCCAGGGAGCUUCCAGCCUCUGCCCCUCUGAAAGUCGGACCACAGACUCGCUGGAACCACCGCUUCAACUCCCGCUGGGAGGACUCAGCCUUCACCUGGAAGUGAUGGAGGCUCUGUCUGUUCUACAUGGACCUGGCAUGAUUCGUAAGCCCCAGGGUCACUGGGGAAACAUUUCCUGCCUUCCCUGGCUUUUGUGCAGUUAAUUAUCACCCUCCACCCCAAAAGUGACUUCACUCAGGGAUGCUGUGUGCAUUAGCCUGUGAUCUGCAGAGAUGCCAGGGGUUGUAUUGAGAAGCUGUGGUUAGAAUAGGGUGCAGGGGAUAACGAUAGCCACGCUUCUUACAUUUUCAUUCUCUUCCCCUUUCAUGUUCUGAACAGACAGCGAACUAAACCUCACAACCAUGCUGAGAGCGAUCUCCUCCAUUUUACUGAUGGGGAAACCGAGGGACAGAGCAAGGCAGGGACUCACCCAAGGUCAUUCAGGGAGUCACUGUUAGUCCAAGGAUUAGAACUCAGGAACUCCUGGCUCCGGCAUGUGCUCUUUCC